rnacentral:rRNA from 1 species
AUGAUCGAAUUAUACAUUAUAGUUGAUCCCUGUUAUCUUAAUAGCUGGCUUCAGAUUGAUGCUAUACUAUGGAUUGAGGAACUCGCCUUUGUUCUACCUUCAACCUGCAAUGCAAACUACUAUGAUUUCCCGUGUGCACCUUUUGUUGAUGAUGGGUGUAGAAACACAAUAGAGCAUCUUUGCCUUGGUGGUUGUGCCUUCCAUCCGACAGCUGGAUUUGGUUACUUGAGAAGGCUGCAUCUAUUUUGUGUUUGUAUUACGGUGGAUGAAUUAGGAUGCCUUAUUUCCAAGUCUUCUGCUUUGGAGCACUUGACACUAAAGUAUUGCAAUAUGAUCACUUACCUGAAGAUACCUAGCCUGCUACAGCAUCUGAACUACCUGAUGGUGUCUGAAUGCACUAAACUGCAGUUGAUAGAGUGCAAAGCUCCAAAUCUCUCCACCUUUUAUUUCAAUGGUGGACAAGUUAAACUUCUGUUUGGAGAUUUAGUUCAAGUGAAGAGCAUGGGAAUGUAUUGUUUUGAUCGGUGUAACACCAUUUACAAUGCUCGUGCCAACCUGCCAUCCAUUGUGCCCAAUAUUGAAACUCUUAGCAUAUCUUCUGUUAGUGAGGUCAUCAAUACACCAAUUGUGCCUGUCAAAUUCCUCCACCUCAAGUAUUUGUCUAUUUCUCUUGAAGCCGAACAUGGGGCUUUCUCCCCAGUCUACGAUUACUUCUCUCUGGUUUAUUUUCUGGAUGCUUGUCCUGUCUUGGAAACUUUCCACUUGGCUGUGUCGCAGACUCGCAUGAAGCAUGAUUCGGUUUUCGGAGACCCGUCACAUCUUAGGAAGAGGCGAGAAUACUGCCAUGAGAACAUCAAGACUGUAAAGAUCUCUGGGUUUUGCUCUACAAAGAGCACGGUUGAGCUGACAUGUCAUAUUCUUGAGAAUGCAACAUCACUACAGUGCCUUACGUUGGACACGAUAGAUGAUGUUGAUGAUAUUGGUAAGCAUGUUCAUGAAACCGGCGAGUGUAACCCCAUAGGUAGGCAUAUGAUCAAAGAAGCCCGUGAGGCCCUCUUGGCAAUUGAAAGGUAUAUUAUGAAAAAAGGUCCCUCCACAGUAAAGUUAAAUGUUCUAGAGCCUUGCAGGCGAUGCCAUGCUUUUGCUGCUUAG